AGUUUGAUCAUGGCUCAGAUUGAACGCUGGCGGCAGGCCUAACACAUGCAAGUCGAACGGUAACAUUUCUAGCUUGCUAGAAGAUGACGAGUGGCGGACGGGUGAGUAAUGCUUGGGAACUUGCCUUUGCGAGGGGGAUAACAGUUGGAAACGACUGCUAAUACCGCAUAAUGUCUUCGGACCAAACGGGGCUUCGGCUCCGGCGCAAAGAGAGGCCCAAGUGAGAUUAGCUAGUUGGUAAGGUAACGGCUUACCAAGGCGACGAUCUCUAGCUGUUCUGAGAGGAAGAUCAGCCACACUGGGACUGAGACACGGCCCAGACUCCUACGGGAGGCAGCAGUGGGGAAUAUUGCACAAUGGGGGGAACCCUGAUGCAGCCAUGCCGCGUGUGUGAAGAAGGCCUUCGGGUUGUAAAGCACUUUCAGUUGUGAGGAAAAGUUAGUAGUUAAUACCUGCUAGCCGUGACGUUAACAACAGAAGAAGCACCGGCUAACUCCGUGCCAGCAGCCGCGGUAAUACGGAGGGUGCGAGCGUUAAUCGGAAUUACUGGGCGUAAAGCGCACGCAGGCGGUUUGUUAAGCUAGAUGUGAAAGCCCCGGGCUCAACCUGGGAUGGUCAUUUAGAACUGGCAGACUAGAGUCUUGGAGAGGGGAGUGGAAUUCCAGGUGUAGCGGUGAAAUGCGUAGAUAUCUGGAGGAACAUCAGUGGCGAAGGCGACUCCCUGGCCAAAGACUGACGC
rnacentral:rRNA from 1 species